rnacentral:misc_RNA from 1 species
UCGUGUGUUGCCGACGACGUUACGUUUAUUUUUUCUGCGGCUACACUUUGUCGCGUGACACCGUUGAUGACGCUAAUCAUUGCUAUAGUGACCAAGUUUUGUCUGAGACUCAAACAGGGAGAAGAAGAAGAAGAAGAAGAAGAAGAAGGAAGCGACGGCGGAGAAGAAGAAGAAGACGACGACGAGUGUUGCGAGCCCCAGCUGAGGGACAGAGACACGGACACACUGACACACAGCAUUUGACCAUUAUUGGAACGAAGAAAGACCUCUGGAACUUGCGGAGGUAUCUGUUUUGAAUCAUGUCAGCAUCAAGUCAAGAGGAGGAAGGAAAUGAAGAGUUGCUAUCAGAUCACGGUGAGGAAGAAUCAGAAAAAGAAGGAGAAAAAGAAGGAGAAAAAGAAGGAGAAGAAGAGGAAGAAGAAGAAAAAGUAGAUGGCUCCCCGCCAGAAAUUGAAGAGGGUGAAACUGAGGAAAAAGAAAAUGGGGUGGUCGCUGAAGAGGAGGCAGUUGAAAAAGAUGAAGUUGUUGUGAAGAAAUCUUCUGAUGAUGCUACUACGGAGGAACACGCGGAAGAAAUGACAGACCCGACUACAGAUGGAGCCACCAAACGCAAGUCUGUGGACAGUGUAAAAGUCACAGAGGAGACCAAGGAAGAAGACAGCGUCGGCAAACCCGAGGUUUUUGCAGUGGAAUCUAUUGAGGAGGUUGCGCAAAAGACUGACAAAAGAAGCAGCGGGUUAUUUCCGCGGGAAUUACUCAUGAACUCAGAAGCGGUGUCACCAGAAGUUGAAGAUCUUCCAAAAGCAAGUUCUGAAGCUAUGAAAUUCUUCUGUUCAAUAACUGAGGAAGAUUUAGAAAGGGUGAUGUUUAAAGACAGCCUCAUUACCACAUCUGACGAGGGGGACUUGGGCGAGUUUCUGAUAUCAAUAGAAAAAUGCACUUUCCAGGAAGAAGACUGUUUUUGCAUCUCAGCAAAGAGUGUUGGCACCAUUGAAGGGAUUCUCUGUGGUACGUCCCUCAUAGCCUAUGUCGACAGGAACCUACAGACCAUAGAACAAAGGCACCAUGAGUAUGUUGAGUUGAACAAGUGUCCCCUUGACCGGAAAACCCUAAUUACACGAAAAGAUGGGCUUUACAAGUUCACCAAAACUAUUUCUGAAGGAGAGGCAACUCAAGUCCAGAAAGCAUGGAAUAUCAAAGAUUUACCAAUUUUAAUGUUAGAAGGUUCAAACACUUUGUUUUUGAGGCUUUUGGUUACGAAGGGAACUGCUGUCAUGAAAGAAUUCUUUGUGCCAACACUUGAUUCCGAUGGUUAUCUCUGCAGUAGUGAAUAUAAAAAACUUGAUAUGAAGAACAUUCUUAUCAACAAGGAAUCUGUUGCUGCAUUUGGUCUGCAGAGGACGAUCUUCUCAAAGAUGGAUUCUCCAAUAUCGUGGAAUUACCACUUCAUGGAUGACGGGCAUCUACUAAGUCGUACACAAAUCGAUUCACAUGUGAGAAUGAGGGUUACCACUGUACCGGUCGUUUAUUUUCCCACUCAGGUACAGUCAACAACAAACCGGUUUUCAAAAAAAAACCCAUAAACCUGGAUGAAGAUAUGGAAAUGAGAAGCAAAUUCAUAGACAAAAAAGUAAGAUAAAUUCAUGAAUGAUUUUUCUGUCUACUUGCGACAAAAGCCCGAGAUCCGAUCACUCCUGGCCGAUUUUCUGCAGUUCCUGUUGCUACGGAAACCUGACGAUGUGGUGAAAUUUGC